GUAGGAUUUUAGUGUGAUCUGCAGCAGAGCCCCGAGCGCCGAAAGGAGCAGCAGGAGAUCGAAGCGAGAACCCUGAGGCCAGGGCUACUUCCUGCGGUCCUCCCAGGGAACGAAACCAUCGUCUGCAUGUUAGAGGGAGGGAGGUGACUGAACCGCCCGCUUCGUUCUUCUUCCCCUAAUCCCAGCCGCACCUCCCACCCUCGUCUGUGGGCGUUGGGACCCUCUUUCUAGUCCCUCCCCAUCCUCUAACCACUCAAGCUGUGUUGAUCCUCCUGGUCCAUGUAAAUGCAAGCAUCCUUAAUCGUGGAAGAAAGAGG
rnacentral:lncRNA from 1 species